GGUUCACUAGCUCAGCUGGAUAGAGCACCUGCCUUCUAAGCAGGCGGUCCCAGGUUCGAAUCCUGGGUGAAUCAC
rnacentral:tRNA from 1 species